rnacentral:rRNA from 1 species
UACGUAGGGGGCAAGCGUUGUCCGGAUUUAUUGGGCGUAAAGAGCGUGUAGGCGGCCUGAAAGGUCAGCUGUGAAAACUCGAGGCUCAACCUCGAGACGUCGGUUGAAACCAUCUGGCUAGAGUCCGGAAGAGGAGUGUGGAAUUCCCGGUGUAGCGGUGAAAUGCGCAGAUAUCGGGAAGAACACCCGUGGCGAAGGCGGUUCUCUGGGACGGUACUGACGCUGAGACGCGAAAGCGUGGGGAGCAAACAGG